rnacentral:rRNA from 1 species
UGGGGAAUAUUGGACAAUGGGCGCAAGCCUGAUCCAGCCAUGCCGCGUGGGUGAAGAAGGCCUUCGGGUUGUAAAGCCCUUUUGUCCGGGAAGAAAUCGUACGGGUGAAUACCCCGUGCGGAUGACGGUACCGGAAGAAUAAGCACCGGCUAACUUCGUGCCAGCAGCCGCGGUAAUACGAAGGGUGCAAGCGUUACUCGGAAUUACUGGGCGUAAAGCGUGCGUAGGCGGUUUGUUAAGUCUGUCGUGAAAGCCCUGGGCUCAACCUGGGAAUUGCGAUGGAUACUGGCAAGCUAGAGUACGGUAGAGGAUGGUGGAAUUCCCGGUGUAGCGGUGAAAUGCGUAGAGAUCGGGAGGAACACCCGUGGCGAAGGCGGCCAUCUGGACCAGUACUGACGCUGAGGCACGAAAGCGUGGGGAGCAAACAG